UUGAGAGGGGUGAGUGUUCUAAGGAAAGGCUUAGUCGGCUAGAGCUGCCAUAACAAAAAUAUCAUAGACUGAGUGGCUUACACAACAUUUAUUUUUCACAAUUCUGGAGGCUAGAAGUCCCAGGUCAAGGUACAAAGAGAUUCAGGGCCUGAUAAGGGCCCCCUUCCUGGGGUAUAGACAGCCCCUUUCUUACCGUGACUUUGUAUGGCCUUUCCUUGGCGUGUGUGUGCACAUGGAGAGGAAGCUCUGGUGUCUUUCCCUCUUCUUCUCAGGGCACUGAUCCUAUUACGGGGACCCUAGCCUUAUGACCUCCAAAAGGCCCCCACUCCUAAUACUACCACAUAAUAGAUGCUUAGGGCUUCAACAUAGGAAUUUUGCGGAGACACAAAUAUUCAGUCCAUAACAGCUUUGGGUGAGGAUAGUUCAAAGAGGAGCUCAAAAGUGGAUACAAAGAUGUUUGAGGAGGUAGGAGGGUGGACUAAUAAGGGCACUGUCUACUCAAAAUUAAUGUGAGGCUUUACACCCUCACUUCAGGCCAAGGAUCAAGUUAGCUUGCUAGGUCAGAACUCCCUGUUCUCCCACUGGGUACAUUUGGGGAUGUUCUUUUAAAUGUUCAGGAAAACAACUGCUAAUGACUAAUUUGGAAUUAACAUGUGGUCUGUCAGCGGGAAGAGGCAUGGUGUUGUUGGAGUUGGAGUCAGGGCUAUGGCAGAAGAAACAGCAGGUACUGGGACUGGAAGGAACCACAGCAGGCAUCUCCUCCACUGGUUCUCAUCCUGGCCCCUGGAUUCAGUGGACAACCCCUCCCACCCACCAUCAACCAGGGCGGCUCCACUUCUACGUGUUUCCUGUAAUGAGGUCCUGUGCAAGAUUUUGAGAAAAGGACUCCACUGCUGAAAAAUAAGAGGUAAAAUUUUGAAAUCCAAGCCUCUCCUGUUUAUUUAUAAAUAAACCAAGGCCCAGAGAAGUUACGAGAUAAACCAAAAUAAUACUGUGGUAACUGCAUAGCCAACCCAGCCUUGGGUCUCCUACCCUCAGCUAAUUUCCCUGGUGACUGAACAACCUCAAAGGUGGAAGAAUAGAACCAUACUCAGGUGAGGCUGAUGGGAGUAGAUUUUCACCUCCUCAUCCUCCUGGACUCUCAAAUUCCUGUUGUUACUGCAUGUGGGAAUGGAGGCCUAGAAGGCCCCUUUGGUUUCCCAAAGGAAUAAAGCUAUAUGCCUUUUCAGAUCUGGAGAAGAGUGAGUAGCUUAUAUGAGUUUUGAGAUAAAGCAUCAUGAAUAUUUUCCUCUGAGCUGUUGGCAUUGACAAAGCCACUUAUGCCAUCUCACAGAUAUCUACAGCUACAUGCUGAGUUAAGAAUCUUAGAGAUCAUUUUAAAAAGAGAGAAGAAAAAUGGAAAGGAAGGAAAAAAUAAUAAAUAUAUAUAAACAUGAAAAUAGAGAAAGAUAGAAAAUAAAAAUACAUUUGUCAAAUGAGAGCUAUGACUGACCCUCUAUUCCUGAAAAAUAGCAUGGAAAAUAAGAGGUAAAGAAGACAGAUGCUUUUGACCAGUUCCCACCAUAUGUCACAUCUAAAUAUUGAACUUUUAUGAGGCAUUUUCAUCUGAUAAUUUUCUAAAACUAAGACAAAAGCUGAGAAAAUGAAAACCCAGGAAGAAGAUGUAAAACUAGAAGCCUGCCAGGAAAGAGGAUGUCAGGGAAGCCAAACAUCCAGGCAGGGAGAUGGCAGGACCCAGGUGGUGGGGAAGAUGCUGCCAGCGUGUGACUGGAAAGGGUGACUGCUCCUCCAGGGGCCUUCGAACAAGCAGCCCCCUCCCCUCCCACAUGGCCCAUAUUCAGCCCAGACAUGGGCAACUCCACCAGCACGUGAUGUUUUCUUUUUUCUCAAAUAAAAUAUCAUCACCUGAUCGUAGCUAAGUAACUGUGAACUUGUAAAAGUCUGUUUGUUGUUCCCCAGAGACCCAUUCAAGUGGUUUUUCAUAUGAAUUUGUUCAUUCAAACACUUCGAAAUGUUUCUCUAAUUAUUUCUCACAGUCCCAUUGUGAGGGAUGAUAAUUCCAUCGACCUCACACCCUAUUGCAGGUGAGUAAACUGAGGCUCAUGAAAGCGGUGACUCAAACACGGAAGGCAGAGCCACCAUGGGUCCAUCCUCCCCAUCAUCAGACACUUGUGGGCAUUCCCAAAUCUAGACUCUUGCAGAACUUGCAGAUUGCAUGUUUCCACUUAACCCCACACCAUCAGACACGUAUCUAUUUGGUUUGGCCAGCACAUAGUAGUAUCCUGUUGAUAACCAUUCAGUAAUUUUAUAGCAUGUCAGGAGUGUUUGAGAAGCUAGUACAUUUCACUAUUAGAAAACUUAGAGUUAAGGAGGUGGAAACUAAUGAGAACAGGGGUCCUAAAGAGUCAUUAAAGAUAUUGCCUUUUUGGGAAGUACAUUUGGGAUUUAGUUCUCAUUCUUCUAAGUAAUAUAUUGCUCAGGAUCCUUCUGUCUCCCUUGGGGUUUGUCCUGCAUGAGUAUAAAGGGAUGUAUUAAUUAUUAAUAAAUAAAUUAGCAUUAAGUACCAUUUUAUAUCAUAUAUUAUAAUGUUA
rnacentral:lncRNA from 1 species